rnacentral:rRNA from 1 species
AACGAACGCUGGCGGCAUGCCUAACACAUGCAAGUCGAACGAGACCUUCGGGCUUAGUGGCGCACGGGUGCGUAACGCGGGGGAACUUACCCUUAGGUACGGAAUAACUCACCGAAAGGGGUGCUAAUAACGGAUAAUGUCUUCGGACCAAAGAUUUAUCGCCUUUGGAUGGGCCCGCGUUGGAUUAGCUAGUUGGUAGGGUAAAAGCCUACCAAGGCGACGAUCCAUAGCUGGUCUGAGAGGAUGAUCAGCCACACUGGGACUGAGACACGGCCCAGACUCCUACGGGAGGCAGCAGUGGGGAAUAUUGGACAAUGGGCGAAAGCCUGAUCCAGCAAUGCCGCGUGAGUGAUGAAGGCCUUAGGGUUGUAAAGCUCUUUUACCCGGGAUGAUAAUGACAGUACCGGGAGAAUAAGCUCCGGCUAACUCCGUG